UACGUAGGGAGCAAGCGUUGUCCGGAAUCAUUGGGCGUAAAGCGCGCGUAGGUGGCUUCAUAAGUCCGCUGUGAAAGUCAAAGGCUCAACCUUUGAAAGCCGGUGGAUACUGUGAGGCUAGAGUACGGAAGAGGCGAGUGGAAUUCCUGGUGUAGCGGUGGAAUGCGCAGAUAUCAGGAGGAACACCAAUAGCGAAGGCAGCUCGCUGGGACGUUACUGACACUGAGGCGCGAAAGCGUGGGGAGCGAACAGG
rnacentral:rRNA from 1 species